GGAACAGGAUCCUGGCCGGGGACCGUGACCGCCUCGCGCUAGGUGAGGGGGCAGGUCUGCUGGGGCGGCUGAGAGACGAGGCCUUCCCCAGGCUGAGUGAGGACACUGGCCUAUUUCUUCUUCAGAGACAUGGGAGAGAGGCUCCUUUUCAGAGUUAGAGAGGGGUCAGCUCAAGCCAACUUCCCAACCAAGGUUCAGUAAAACCCGACUGAGGCUGGAGGGAUGGGGAUAUGAGGAAAUUCAUCAGCCUUUGCUGUUGGUAUUUUUCUGUCACCGCGGUUGAAUCAUUCGCUCUUAUGAUUACAUGUAGUUUGAGGUGUAUGAGUAAACCCGUUGCUGCUGAUACACGGGUGCCAUCUCGUCCGAGUUGGAGGCAUCCCUGUAGGCCUGCCCGUCCCCCGCUCUCGGUCCCGGGAGGGUCACUGGUUUCCUUCUGAAUCAGCCUUAAUCCUCAUUUUGAUAAAAGCCCGGCUUCCCUAAAGCAGAAGGAAGGAAGGGCGGACGGCUGAGGAGUGGGUUUCGAAGGAGGCCUCAGGCUUUCAGGGAACUUGGUUUCUCGGGUGGAGUCCUGUUUUCAGUUGCGGAGAGCUUGGGCCCCGGGGACGCGCUGUCCCCUGGCCUGUGUCCCCCCCCCCACACACACAGACGGGCUGGGGACGAACCAGUGUCCUUCUCUGAAAGCCCGCAGCUGGAGGGCAGGAAGUCGGGAAGGUGUCUGGAGCCUGGGGACGUCCUGCCUCCAGAGGUGACAAGGGUCCGCUGAGACAAUCCUGACCACACCCGAGGUCACAGCCGAGGUCAGAGCCGAGGAUGUUGAGGGCGCGCCUGGGGGCCGAGGAGCCAGAGGACACGGGCCGCCCAGAGGAUGGCAGGACUGGGCUGGACCCUGAGCCGGCGGCCGGGGAGGCCGGCAGGGCCGAGGAGAUGCUGGGUCCAGGUUUGAGCAUCCUGGGCCCGGCCCAGAACCCUUUCCAGCUGGCAGUCCCAGGACUGCUUACAAAGGAUGGGUGGGGAGCGGACUGCGACCAUGGUGAGAAAAACUCCCUGCAACCAGACUGCAGACAGUGGCUGCAGCAGCAGGUCUCAGGGCUCCGAGAGGCGUUCAGGAGGCAGGAGGACCACUGGGCGGCCACGCACCGCGCACUCCGGGCCCAGAUGGAUGCGCUGACGAGGCAGAACCAGGAGCUGCGGGCUGGGCUGAGGGCCUCUGAGCUGCGGCGUCUGGAGACCAAGAAGGCCCUGGCGGGGUGCCUUCGGAGACAGUCGGACACUCAGCCCAUGUGUGUAGAGAUGGAAAGAAUCCACUCUGCGGAAACGGUAUCAUGUGACGGUGGAGACAAAACCCUUUCCAGGAAGCAAGGCAGAAGCGCAAAGCCUCCCGGGAGGGAAACGCCCCGUGAAGACAAUCCAACCUCAUGUGAGGACGAAAAGAAAUGGAGCUGCGGGGAGUCCCCGGUGCCAGCAGCUUGUGUCAUCGCCCUUGAGGACCCGCCAGCUGCUGACCACGCGGACACCCACCCAUCGCCCCCUGAGGGCCCUGCAGGCAGCCCCCCUACCCAGGCUCCGAGGGCUGAGUCCACGUGUUCCUCCCCGGACAUCGAGGAGCCACAGAAUCUUCCUACAGAACCAGAGUCUCCCCCCAAAACAGCCCAGCACCAGGGCGCCCAGAGACAACAGGAGGAAGGGGAGGAAGUCCAGCACCCCGACGACAAGGCGGUGCAGAGAGGAGCGUCUAGACCAGCCUAUCCUCUUUUCCCGACCGGAGACGCCGUCGCCACGGCAGACGAGCUGCCCCCCGCGGCCGGGCCCGACCCGCAGAGCUCGGGGUAGAGUGAAAUCCUUCCUUCCCGGUUCUCCCUUGGAAACAAACGCACAUUAAACAGGUUGUCGUGUCUGUAUCCUGCUGUGUUUAUUCCCGGUCCCCGCUUCUCGGUCCAGGCUCCCAGGCCCGGGGGUCAUCUCCCCUCCCCGACAAGCACCUCAGCACCUGCUCGCUCCUCCUCGUCCUUCUCCACCUGAUCAGAAACCAAAGGAGUCACAACAAUUGCAAACAUCACC
rnacentral:lncRNA from 1 species